AUGAUUGAGCCUCAUGGCUCUGCUUCUGGCAGACGUGGACGUAAGACUCCUCGAGAGUCAGAUACUCUCGAGGAGCGAGAAAGAAAGAGGCUGCGAGAUAUCUUUGCAGAACCAUCUGACGAAGAGUCUUUUAAGGGGUUCACGGAGAGAAUGGAGGAAGAGCUGGUUAGCUCGGAAGAGGAUGAGAUGGAUUGGACUCGGCUUUGACCUUCCGUCGUCUUCUUGACGGACGCCAUCUGCUACUCUGGAUUUACGGACUGAAAACUGACUACGGGCUCGCUUUCUCCUAUUGAACUUGGAAAACUGCAAACGUCUGAUUCUGCCUCUCGACCUACGGAACGAACUGGGACUACGCUACUGCUUCAAUCCUUGGCUGCUGAGUUUGUAUUGGAAAUUUGCCUUGCUGUGUGAAGGAGUGACUCCUAGUUACUCAAAACAUAGUGCUGGCAGCAGAGAGGCAUCUGCUACCAAUUAGUUGCAUUCUUUUGAACUCUUUGUUUCCCAGCUUCUGUUUGUUUUUCCCCAGGCUGAAGCAAGCUGUUUUGAUUUUACCCGGAUUAAACUCCGGUUUAAUCCGGUUUAUCUUUUGAACGUUUUUCUUGCCCCUUUUUGUUUUUAAAGGCUAAAGUUGCCUUGCCCUUGUCUUUUACGGGCAUUUUGAGUUCUGUAAAUCCAAUAAACUCUGUUAUCUUUGA